rnacentral:rRNA from 1 species
UCCCCUAGUAAGGGCGACUGAACCGGGAAGAGCCCAGCGCAGAACCCCCCGCGCCGAGUCGCGCGGCGGGGCUUGUUGCGUGUCGGAGGGUCGUUCUUGCCGCGUGUUUCCCGAGACGUCCAAGUCCGCUUGAACGCGGCCACUGCCCAUGGAGGGUGCGAGGCCCGUGCGACGUCCUCGGGCCGUGGCAUGACCCCAUCCGCAGAGUCGGGUUGCUUGAAAGUGCAGCCCUAAGUCGGUGGUAAACUCCAUCUAAGGCUAAAUAUUACCACGAGACCGAUAGCGAACAAGUACCUUGAGGGAAAGUUGAAAAGAACUUUGAAGAGAGAGUUCAAGAGUGCGUGAAACCGUCGAGAGGAAAACGGAUGGCACCUCGAAGGUCGAACGGGAGCAUUCAGCCCGUCGGCGCGUCCGGCGCGGGUGCGCGGUCUCACCGUCCUCGUGGCGGCCCGCGCCCCGGCUCGUCCGGAUCGUCGGCUGGCGUAAUUGCUCCCCAGUAGGUCGCCGCGACCCGUUACCGUGUGCGGUCGAAGGCCCGCCGGGUCGGCAUCUGCUCCCUUCAACGGGGGGCAGAGAAGCCCGUGCGCGGUGUCCUGGCUCGCCGGGUGACGGUCGUACAGCCAGUGCCCGCCUGUAUCUGUGUGUGUGUGUGCAUUUCACACACGCACAGCAGGCGUCCCCUCCUCUCUCCUCCGUCUCGCUCAGGCGGGCGUGGGGGUUAGAGAGGCGGCCGGGACCGUGGCGCUUGUCCGCGGCGUGUAGUUCGGCGGACCAUCCGACCCGUCUUGAAACACGGACCAAGGAGUCUAACAUGUGUGCGAGUCAUUGGGCGUCGUCGAACCCCAAAGGCGCAAUGAAAGUGAAGGCCGUCCCCCGCGGACGGCCGUGGGCCGAUCCGUCCUCCCUUGUGUGUCAUGAGGCGGCGCAGGCCCGGGACUGGCGCGCCCCAUCGCGGGCGCGCGAGUACCAUGAGCACCCAUGCUGGGACCCGAAAGAUGGUGAACUAUGCCUGGCCAGGGUGAAGCCAGAGGAAACUCUGGUGGAGGUCCGCAGCGAUUCUGACGUGCAAAUCGAUCGUCAGAGC